rnacentral:rRNA from 1 species
CACGGGGGGCCUACGGGAGGCAGCAGUAGGGAAUCUUCCACAAUGGGCGAAAGCCUGAUGGAGCAACGCCGUCGUCGAGUGA